rnacentral:lncRNA from 1 species
CUCAAGGACUAGAUUUUUUUACUUCUAUUUUGUUUUAAUUCAUUGCAUUGAAACAUAAGUAGACCUGUGUGCCUAGUGGCUACUGUAUUGGCCAGCACAGCUCCAAAGUGUCUUGAUUUGACCCUUUCCCCUUGUCUGUUCUUCAUUUCACUAUCAAAAAUCUAUUUCAUCAUAAAGAGCUUAAAUUGUUCUUUUGCUUUGUAAUGUGUGUAAUGCUUAAAGUUUUAACUUUUGGCUGAGAGACAGAGACCAGAUGGAGUUGACUUAUUUCAGACCCAAUACAAGAAAGCGUGGCUUACUCUGGGUAAGAUGGAGCAGAGGAGUACUUUCUAUUGACGCGCUUGUAGCUGACAGUUGCCUGGCAGUUAAGCUGGAGGAGCGGCUAGAGAGGCCAGUGUGAAACCUACACUCUCUGGCAGUGCGAGGCUGCCUGGCAAUGCUUCCUAGAGCUGGAAGGGGAACGGGGAGAGCCCACAUCUACACCUUGGACCCAGAUCCAAUCCCCGGGUGUGUCAGGCAGGCUCAGGAAGCAGCACGUGGGGAGCAUUCUCAGACUUGAAUCAGAGUACAAAAGCCCACAUGGCGAGGCCUGAGGUUCUCAAUGCACCCUUAGAACCCGCCUCACCCCCGUGCUGGUUGGCGAGUGUCCUCCAGGAGAGAGACCACCCAGUCAGGUGGUCCCGGGGGCAGCAUGACUAACUGGAGUCCUCCAAAUGGGAGUCCCACUGAGCUGGGCUGUUUCCACCAUGGGCCUCCCUCCUUCACACCUUGCCAUCCUCUAGAAUGCCUGAGCCCAGGCCUCCUGCCCAUCUCUCGAAGCAGCUCUCCGAGGCCCCUCCUGUAGGGAGGCACCCCUUCACCCCAAGUCACAGCUCAUCUGCCAGCUCCUUCUGGCCCCCCGACAUGCUGGCCUUGGUCAG